GAUGAAGAACGCAGCGAAAUGCGAUAAGUAAUGUGAAUUGCAGAAUUCAGUGAAUCAUCGAAUCUUUGAACGCACAUUGCGCCCCCUGGUAUUCCGGGGGGCAUGCCUGUCCGAGCGUCAUUACAACCCUCAAGCUCAGCUUGGUGUUGGGCCCCGCCGCCCCGGCGGGCCCUAAAGUCAGUGGCGGUGCCGUCCGGCUCCGAGCGUAGUAAUUCUUCUCGCUCUGGAGGUCCGGUCGUGUGCUCGCCAGCAACCCCCAAUUUUUUUCAGGUUGACCUCGGAUCAGGCAGGGAUACCCGCUGAACUUAAGCAUAUCAAUAAGCGGAGGA
rnacentral:misc_RNA from 1 species